GGAAUUCAGAGGAUAGGAACCCCUGGUUUGUAUUGCCACUGGGUACUUAUAGUGAGUAGAGAUACAUAGUCCUCCGCAUUGCAGACAGGAUUGUCUGAAAAUGAGUGGGCUCUUGUUGUCGUAGAUUUAUCCUACUCCACAUACGGGCCACUGCAUACAGUCCUUCAAUUUGCCAGAAACGGUGUCGUGGCUUGUCUCCAGGCCUCUCUGUGGGAAGUGACAGGUCUUCUGUGUGUACGCUGCUAGUAGGUCGCUGUAACAUGGAUCACUACUUUUAGUAGCCCGGACAGCAGUGGGUGCUCUCUCUGCUUGUCCCGUGUUGCUCCUGUUCCUCCUUGCUGGGUCUCGGGUUCGAGGGAGCACCAGAGGUCGGGCAGCUUGCUGAGCACGCGGGUGUCUGGUCGCAAGAUCCUCCAGAAGGGUCUCCCCUCCGAGGUGUGAUUGGUGAUCCUGUACCGCAGCUUGGGUUACUUGUGGGGUUAUGGAGUGAGGUCUGCCAUAUAUGCACUCCCAGAACUCCCUACAGAGCCUGUCGAAUCGAGCUUCAAAGCUCUCCCUCCACACUGCGAUUGUG